rnacentral:lncRNA from 1 species
AGUCUCCCCGAUCUCUCCGGAAGGGAGCACGAUGAUCGUGGCAAAUUUUUGAUUAUCGUGCUCACCUUAGAUUCUGUCAGGGAGACUCCGUUCCACUAUUUCGGCGGUGUCAACCCUAUAGAGCCUUUUUUUGGCUGCUAUUUUAGGUCUGCGUGCAUUUUUUCGAUGAUCCGAGGCUGUUCCGAUGCCUCCAAAGGUGAGCACGGUGAUUGUUGGUCAGUGUUGAUCACAGUGCUCACCGUACUUUGGAUCAACAAAGUCCGGUUAGUUCUGUUCGGUGCGAUUUUCCCUGGCUGUGCACUGUUCGUACAACUUCGGAUUGCUCCCGCGCUUCCCACAGCGAGCCGUUGUGCUCCGGAUCAUGAGCACGGCCUACGGUAUGUCGAGACCAAGCAGUACGUGUCUUGGCGGACCUUAAAAGUUCUCGGUUUGCGUGAACGAGCCAUUUAAUCGUCCGAUUUACAUAAAAUGAUAGGAUUUUAUGUAAAUUGAGGGGCUUUUAUGCAAUUGUGCAUUAUGUGGUUACUGUGGGCAGUGCAUUUGUGUGUGUGGACCUCUGGACUGAUUGUCCAUGAUCCGAUAGCCUUCGCAGAAAUCGAGGAGUCGAUUUUGGUGCGUUUUUCGGCAAAAUUCACCGAAAGAAUGCGGUUUCAGUUCGCAUUUCUUCCGACGUGGUUUGUUUAUCCUGUAAAUUGUCGCUGAGCCUUGUUGGCUGGUCACCAUCAUCAUUUUGUGGGUUCGGUGAUGAUGGGUGAGCGACGAUGGGUUCCGGUGUCGAAAUAGACGCUUCCGGGAACCCGUAUUCGUACAAUUAUCCGACGAUAAUUGUGUAGCGGUGUUAUCUUGUGUUUGCUGCCAAGACAUCUAAACAGGAGUGUUUUGUGGCAGCGGAUGACUUGUGAUAUGAGUCUGUGAGUUUCGGCACACAUUGUGGGUCCCGACGGCGUCCCGGUACGAUUUUCGGGACUUUCGGUGAGUUACGGUGAUCGGUUUUGGAAACCGAUUACAGGGAUCUAUGUGGGGUUUGUGAGUCUCGUGCUUUGGAUUAGUGGGUUGGAUACUGACCCGGUGGACCUUUGUAGGUCCGGUCAACUUGUGUGCAUCCAGGUUUUUCGACGCUUUUGUGACAGGUGGGUGCUUCGAGCUGGUAGUCAAUGAGAUCAUUUCACCUUCCUCUGUUCUUUCAUUCAGUAUUGUAGUCUCUACAUGUCAGCUGUUUGCUUAUCAUUCGUACAUCGUAUCCCUUUGAUUGCAUUUGGAUAGUUAUGGAUAGACAUGUAGAGCAGGCUUAUAUUUGUAUAUCGCAUCUCUGUGGACCUUGGGACCAGGCAACACAUCGACUCUCUUAUCAUGUGUUUCGAUCUGGUUGAUCGUGGUUCGGCGUUGUACGCCCUAGUAUCUAUUAUGGUUUGGCGUUGUACGCCUAUGUUGUUGGCUUCGGCCUAGGCACCGGCUUCAGCCGGUUUUUGUUUGAGCAUACCAGCAUGACUUAGUCACAACACUUGGGAGUAUUCAUGACACCGGAUCGGUUUGGCCACCGAUCGGAGGCGUACGUAUUCGGAUGGGUCGUCCUGUGGGGGGGAUAGAUCGGGUCGGUGCAGAUAGUGACAGAUAGCGCUUGAGGUCUACGGACCAAUAUAGCAGGCACAGAUUAGGUACAGUUUCUGGUUUAUUACAUUGAGGCAUACUUGCAUUGUUUCUAUAUAGUAGCAAUUUUAGUUCUUGCUUCUUAAUAUACCUGUUAAGCCUACUGUAGUUCCUUUUCGCAUCAGCAGUAUAUUAUAUAUUAUAUAUAUAUUAUUAUAAUAUAUAUAAUAUAUAUAUAUAUAUAUAUAUAUAUUCAUAUAUAUAUAUAUAAUAUAUAUAUAUCUUGUUUCUCUAUCUCUUUUGGUUCAGGUGAUUACGGCUUGCCAUUCAUGAGCUCUGUCGACCACUGCGAAACCAUGGUUGCGGAUUUCUCACCCCCCAUUUCUCAGGUGAUUCGGGCUUGGUGUUGGUGUGGGAGGCGCGACUGACGAGGACGAUCUAGCUAGUCGGUAUAACGACGUCACCCUGGUUACUUUCAUUGCACUUCGUGUUUUAAUAAUAAUGCGUUCAGUUUUAGAAACGAUUCAUACUUGAUAUUUGAAUGUGUGAGCUAUGAAUGCCGUUUCCAUUGCAUGUAACUGGGCUUUAUGGAUUUGUGGAUUUUGGUUUAUGGAAUCUUCAGUUAGGACGUAUCAUGUACUUGUGGUUCUCGGAUUUGUAUUUAUGAAUUUACAAAUCGCGGUUCUUCUACCUCUUUGAUGGUUAGUAGAUUUCAAAAUAGAGUUCCGUGUAGGAGAAACAGUUUUCGAAUAGAACUUUUGCGAACCAAGAGUGAAUGAUUGAAUUAGAUUUAAAAACAAAGCUUCCGGGUGGGGAAAGCACUUAUAAAAUAGGUUGUGUGUUGAUAUCGUUAUUGCAUUGCAUCAUUCACGCCUAAGGAGUCUUUAGGAGGCAUGAUCAUCUCUACAGGAAUGUUAGUUGUAUUGAAAAGCAUUAUCAUGAAUGGUGGUUGAUUGGUAUAUAUAGGUGUGAUUAGAUCCUGUUGUAUCGGGGUACGACGUGCAAAGGACCAAAGGAGAUUCUGUCCGAAGUGGACAGAGGAACUUUGUAUUUGCGCGGUUCUUGCGUCUUGUGCGGCCAGGUUCCGAGAAAAAAAAAAUGGCACAUCUUCCGUCUACUUCUAAUAUUCCAAAUAGUAAUGGAUUUAAAAAGGCUUUUAAAACUGGCCCCAGGGCGCUGACGAUUUUUUGUCACGCCCGAGCCGCCGAUCCUCUGUUGGCCGGUUCCGACGCCGUCAAACAGACGCCGACAUGCGACAGAGUCUUCCCCAUCAUGUAUGCCUAAGCUCAACAUCCGUGUACAAUGAGUAUGAAUUUUUGCACAACCGGAAGAUACGCAAUGGCAUUUGCACCGAGGGCAAGCGAUACGCAAUAGUGAAAGUAAUAAACUACACUUCAGGAAAUCAUUUACAUUUUUGCCAUCAUUUACUUCUCUUUACAUUCACAUGAAUUAAAAUAUAAGUUCAUGCAUGAAAUAUUAAAAUAUCUUUUACAUCAUUCUUGUUCUUUCUUAACAUCUAUAGUCAUUCAACAUACGAAAAAGCGUCACGCAAUGUUAUAAUGGUAAUGCCAACUACAAAUGGACCCACUCGGGAGUCUUAUCUCGGGCGCGAUUACCAAUACCACGGUCGUUUCCACCGGGCUCGCUCAGGGUCCCGGCUCUGUAGAAAGUGGGGGUGCGAAAAUAUAACAACAGUUCCCAGUUAGGUUUCGGCAAUCGACCACGCCGACUUUCUCCCAACUAGGUCUAAAUCAGUGCAUAAUAGAGAAUAGAUAGAUAGUAACAAGUUUAAAGAAUGCCAGCCUAAUAUGCUGACAAUUAUAAUAAUGCUAUGCUCAAUAAAGUAGUCAUGAUGAAUGCAAGUCAGCUGCUCAGAAACCCAAUCUCUAGCUAGCCGUAGGUUUCGCCCCACAAUAAAUCACCCGACUCAAAUUCCAGUAUCGGGGGAACUACUACACCCAACGAAGCACCGUCCUCUGGCGGAGCCUACUACCCCAGUGGACAACAACUCCGCAGCACAUCGCCCGUGGGGGAGGCUUACCACCCUCGAGUAAGCGACUUACACGCGUGAGUAUGAAUCCAAUCCUUAAACUAUAAGGCAUGUCGACUCAAUCCCAUUCUUAAUUAUAAGCAAGCAUGCAACUAUGACCUUAACUCUAAGUUGAAAUUGCCAUAACUGUCACUAUCACAUUUUACUUCAUUCUUUUACUUUCACUAUGUCAGUAUACAACUACUAUGUUCUGCUACACAUGCCACAUUGUUUCUUAAGUGUCAUCUUCUAGCAUUGUCGACUCAUCAAAUGUCACUUCUACCUUCGUAUGUCAGAUGUCAAUUUGUUUAUUAAUUCCACUAAGUUCUUGUCACUUGUCAUGCCAUAAAUAGAGAUUUAUAAAAUUCUCACAUUUCUUGCUAGUAACUUACAUGAUUUGUACUCACAAAUGCAAUAAAUUGCUCAAAUAUAUUUCCAUACUAUGCAAAAUUUAACAGGAAGGACGUACGAGGUUACUCAAUACACAUAUGCUCAAAAUAACCUUUAGACAUAAAGAAAUUCCGGGGUCCUCAGAUUGCCCCACCCACCUUGCAUGGUUGCAAAAGUACUACGGUAAAUUUCUUGAAAUUUUUGAGCUCGUCAUUUUUUCCGCCUGCGGUAAAACGAAGCAAAUUAGGCUUUUUUCUCAAUAACUUAUCUAGACCUUUUUCGUAACGUCAGACGAGUUGUCCCAGCGUCGGAAAUACCCGCUAAUUAGCGUUCGUAUUAAGGUCACAUUUGCCUGAAAAAUUCGGAGGCAAAAGCCCCAAAUUGGCAUAUGGUGCUUAACAAUGCACUUAUCAAUUUCUUGGGAUUAAAUCUUGUAGCAAGCCAAAAUUAAAACUUAGAACACCAAGAAGCUCUCUAAUACUAUUUCAAGACCUUUGAACCAUUCCUAGGGCAUAAAAACUCAACCCUAGGUUUUUGUACCAUGAAGAGCACAAUGGUAUAAACCUUGUUUCCAUGUGUUUCUAAGGCCAUUAGAGGCUUUCAUAUUCAGCUAAAAGUAUCAAAACCUAAAGGCUUCUAGGGCGUAAAUAUCAGCCCUUAAGCCCUAAUCUUACAAAAAUGCCUCACCUUAGGCCAAAGCAUCUCCAACGUGUCACCUUGGAGAGAGAGCCCGAGUCAUUCAAUCUUCCCAAAAUCACCUCCCAAGCCUUGUCUACUUCUUCUCCUUCUGCCCCUCUUUAGAGAGGUUUCUAGAGAGACAAAACGGAAAAUAAGAGGCGGAGCGAGAAUGGUUGUGGGGAGAGAGAGAAGAGUUAGGGUUGGUAUUAACAUGUUGUAACAAUUGAACACAACCCCCCAUUCUUCUAUUUUGCAGACAGACCAAUUUGGGUAAUGCCAGUCCAAAGUGCCACCGGGUACACUGGAUUUUGUACUGUACACAAUUACGCAGGAGGCCAACCCGAAGCCAAGCCUCCUCGGAUUUACCAAAGUGUACCGGUACACACUAGGGGAUGUACCGCGUACCUACAUUCAUCUUACGAAAAAUCCAAACCUGAAACGCCUACUCUUCUCACGAGGCUGCUGGGUUUGUACGGUUACAACUCGCAGGUUCGUACCGGUACGACUUUUCCCAAUUGGGUUUUGGCCCGUUUCGAUCUAUUUCGCGCCGAUCCGAUGCCAAAACCCCUUUUUAACACUUUAGAACUCAUUUUUAACCAUUCCAACCUGUUGGAAUGCUAAAAGGAAUUUGUCCAACUACUUUCUUUCGUAUUGUUCGCUUUUAAAUCCGCCGAGCAAUGGCUAAAACUUGCUUAAACACUCUCGGACUCGACUUUCACCCUCUCAACAUGUUGGUUAGGUUAAUUGCGACUCUGUCCAUCAUUAUUCUCUGCACUUUAAACCAAUUUGGCUAAAGUUCGAUAAUCGCUAUCGGGCCGUUUCAAUGACGUUACAUUCUCCACCCCUAUAAAUUAGUUUCACGUCGGCGUAAACUUAUUUAUUUGUAAACUUAAACUCAUACCUCAAUUCAGCUAUUAAAGAUGAGGGUAAUGCCUCCGCAUUGUGCUCUCGAGCUCCAGAUCUUCCAAUCGUCGUGCGUUGCUCCAAGGAUUUUAACAUACGAAAUUUUACGGUUCGUAGUUUUCUCACUUCUCUGCAUCGACGAAUAAAUGCCAAGAACUCCUCGUAAAGUCAUAUACUCUGAAGCUCGUAUCGGUUAUAAUACGAGAGAAUGUACGCUCGGGGUAUCGAAUAUAACUGCGGAGAUUCGAGUACAUGAAACACAUCGUGCACUGCGCAACGUCGGCGUAGUGCUAUCUUGUACGCCACCGCGCAACCCUCUUCCAACACGUCGAACGCGUCAGUUACCAGGCGACUUAGUGUUCCUCCGGCAGUCUAAACCGCCUAAUGCCACGCAUCGACCGAUACCUUUAGGAAGACGUAUCUGCAAGCGGCAAAACUCUAUAUCUUUCUCCGUUUGCGGGGGGGGGGACCCAUACUUUUUGCCGAGCAUUGUAGCCGAGUGGAGUCUUUGGCGGUGCAAGGCGAACUUUCUCUCCUCCUUCCGCACUACAUCGGGGCAAAGAGCCACUCUCUCGCCCACAUCGUCUCCAAUGAAUUGGAGAGCCGACACUUCCUUGCCAUACAAAGGUCUCGAAAUGGCGCCAUCGCGAUACUUUCUUGAUAACAUCUAUUGGUACGCGAAUUCAGCAACGGUAGAUGAUCGCGCUUAACCGCCCUUGUAAUCAGUACACACGCACAAGCAUAUCCUCAAGUAUUGUGUAUCUGUCCUCUCCGACUUGUGACCAAUCACUUUAAGAUUGAAAAUGCCGUGCUAAAGUCCGAAGCCGUGUGCCCAAUGCUCCUGUAGGCUCCUCAAAUGAGAUGUGAAUCCGAGUUCCCGAUCCGAUACAAUUGAUACCGGUAACACAUGAGGUCUCACAACCUCGUCGAAUAUAUAACUUGAGCCAACUUUGUCCCCCGACCAAAGUAAUUGAAUCGGUAACAAAUGCCGCCGACUCGUCUCAACGGCGUCUACUAUCACCCAAUUGCAUCAUGUCACACCUGAGAUCGGGGCAUCCGCGUCACAAGUCCAUCACGGAAUUGUCCAUUCUAAACCGGUAUAGUGGCUUUGUAAUUUCCGCCAGAAACCGCCGCUCCGUUUUUACAUUUCGCAAGUAAGACAUUGCGCAACAAACUCCCAUGUCUUUCUUCAUACCCGGCCACAAUAAUGCAAUUUCAAAUCUUUGGUACAUUCUUGGUGCGCGGGGGUGGAUACUAUAAGGGAGAUUGAUGGCGCUCUUGCUAAUCGCCUUCGCGGAUGUCUCGUUCUUAGUUACACACCAACAAUUUCGAAAUUGAAGUGUGCGCGGUCCAAUGCCAAAUCAAUCGAACUAACCACUCUACAACUUCCACCGUGCACCUUUUGGAAUACUCAUCGGACAGUUUGUCGCUCAUUUUAUUCUCGUCCAAUAAAGUCGGGUUGCACCACUAAACGCGGCAAGUGUAGCCGGCAAAUCCGGCGCUUACUACUCUAAAUCAAGCCGUUUGGCAUCUCUUUUUGUAAUAGAUGGUUGUGGGUUGUAAUUACGUUGCCGAAGCCAAUUUUUUCUCCAAUUUCCUACUAAGUGCAUCCGGCCACGACAUUGCCUUCCCGGGGUGGUAUAAAAUGGUAACAUCAGUAGUCUUUUCAAAAUCUAACCAACCGCCGUUGCUGGCAUAUUAGUCCUUUGGUGAAAAGUAAUUUGAAGUUUAUGUGAUUCCAGUAUUAGAUUCACAAUAUUCCCCGUAUAGUAAUAGCCUCCAUAGCCUUCUGUGCAAAUACCGCCGCUAGUCGCAGGUCGUGCGACAGGUAAUUCUUUUUAUAAGUCUUCAAUUGCGCGCCGAAGCAUACGCAUCACCGCCCAUUUUGCCACCAAGACACACCGGAGCAACCGACAUAGGAAGCCAUCAUUGUCAUACCACAAAGUGUCUCCCCGGCUCCGCAAUGCUAAGCACGGGGUCGUCGUCAACCUUCCUCACUCCUUAAAAGCUGCGAUCGCAAUCGUCGCUCCACACUAUUCACCGCUCCUUGGUGCGAUAAGCGCGCGAUGUGGGAGUGGUUAUUUUUGCGAACCCUCCACAAACUGCCGUAGUUAGCCCGCUAGCCCAGAAGACCUGCGGACCUCGAACACUCGAUCGGGGAGGCAAAUCUUUAAUUUGCCUCUACUUUCUUUCGGAUCCACCGGCCAGAUACCUCACCCGAAAUCACCGUGUCCUAGCAAGUGACCUCCGAUAGCCAAGCUCACAUAUUCGUCAACUUUGGCAUAAUAACUGCCUCCUUUCGAAGUAUUUCCAACUACGCGUCCUCAACGUGCUCCUUGUGUUCUUCCUCGCGUCGAGAAUAUUACCAAUACGUCGUUAAUGGAAGACCCACGCACCCACCGUCCAUCAGCGGACAGAAGACUCGAAUUCAUUAGUCCUAAAGACUGCGGGCAUUAUGUAAGCCAAACGGCAUAACCGUGAAAACUCGUAAUGCCAUACCGCGGUAGGUAUCGCUGUCUUGUGCACAUCCUUGGGCGUACUUAACCUGAUUGAUACCCCAUUGAGGUCAUAUUUGAAUACGACCCAUCGCCUUGCAAACUGAUCGAGAUAAAUUAUCAAUCCUUGGCAACAGGUACUUGUUCUUAACUGUCAUCUUGUUAACUCGCCGGUAAUUGGCUAUGCAGCAGUCGAAGUGUGCCAUCUUUCUUUUUGCACAAUACGGCACGAAGCUCCCCACCCCAGUCUGACACGCUCCACCGCUCACCAACCACGCCCUUUAUCGAGCAAGUCUUGCAACUGUGCCUUAUAAAGCUCUUUAGCAAUGCCGGUGCAUUCUGUACGGAGCUUUCGAAAUGGCACCGCCCCGGAAUCAAGAUCAAUAACAGAACUCGACUUCCCGGUCCGGUGGCAAUCCUGGUAACUCCGCGUGCGAAACACAUCUGAGAUACUCGCCAAUACAACGCGAAUGCCCCCAACUCCGCGCUGUGCUCUGUUUGAGCGGUCCACCUUGUCGCCAAAUAGGCUACACAAUCCACCUGUCAAUUAUUGUUCCUCGCUUCUCGCGCCUAAUACAUCGCCGGCCAAAGCGCCUGGCUUUUACAACAGCGGGUUCUAUACAGCUCUUUUGAUUAGCCACGUUAACGUGAUCACCUUACUUUCGCAAUCUUAUAACGGCAUAGUAUUUGAGAGCAAUUGAUCCCCAAAAUGUACGUCGAAGCCCCCACAGCUGGUUUAACACCAAUAGUUCGGAUCAACAUGAUCCAAUAUGCCUAUCUGUACCAGACAAUCCAAACAUCAUGUAUACAUGGAACGAAUGUCCAGGGUGUAAUUCACCGGUCCAAUAGUCCUCAAUAAGUGUGACCUCCUAUAUCAUGAGCUAGUGCGAAUGAUGCCGAUAUGCAUAAUGCAUGCCACCUGUGUCAAAAACGCUCAUAGCUCUGUGCCCUCUGAUCAGGAUAAUACUCUCCACGACAUCGUCGAGAACUCUCGUAUCGGUCCUUCCACCUGAGUGGCAAAAAUCCGCCACUCGGUUGCUCUCGCGAUGCUUCGGCUGACGCGAUGCAGAAGAGCGUCCAGUGACAUAGCCAGUGUAACUCCCGCCAGCUGUCUCGGUCGAAGAACUGAGCCGCCGUCGGUGCAGACGACGCCCAUCUCGGGCCACUCCGAGUAAUGGCGCCUGCGCAUUUGAAGCACUUACCUCGGCUUGCGGGCACAGCGAGUCGAUGUGCCGCCGCCAAAUCACGCAUCGGAGAGGCUUCCCGCUCCUUGCUUGCUGUCAGGGCAUACCGAGGGGGUUUCUUUGCACUUGGCCGGCCCCGGCACAGCCGCGCUCCGCUUCUGGCAUUGUCCUUUGCUCGGCUAGCGGACUCGCGCUCCUCAUGUUCGUGGGCAUAGCCAUGCUCGCCCCACAAGACCGCAUCAAAGACCUCAGCAAAGGUCGUAGCUUAAGGAUUUGCACAGCCCCUGAAUUACCGGGCCGACUCUCGCAAGAACCAAUCGGGCCCGGCCCGGUUCAUCAAGACAACCUUUGGACCAAUCGAUAAGGGUAGGAGAACUCCUGUCGUAUGUCCGCUACGAGCGAUUCUCCCAUGCCUCAACUUGCGAAAUUUUCUUGGCAAUUUCCGCUUUCACCGUGUCGGGGAAGUUAAUUGUUGCGAAUACGCCCUCUUGAAGCUCCAUCCCACAACAUAGCGGAGGAUCGGAAUCGAUUCACGCCUAACAUGCUUCCACCACACCUUCGCGCCUUCUUAGGCAAUGUGCUGGUGAGGUACACCAUGUCCUUCUCCGGAGGUCUACAAAGUCCUCAAAAAAGAGCGGUCUCCAUGGAGUCAAUCCAUGAUCCAUCCACCACUACCAGGUUCACGCUCUCCCUUCGAACGAUAGGUGGGUUGACUUGUUGAACUGUCGCAGAGCCUCUAACGCACGCUCACCGCUCCGGCAACAAUCAUCCGCCCCACUAUUCGGGUUCGUUGAGGCUCGCCCGAAUCGGCGGUAUCGGCGUAACUAGCACAGCUGCUGCGGCCACACGCCCUAGGCAGGGUCUGUUGCACCAUACAGGCGCACAGGGUGCACGGCCUCCACUGUGCCGCCGCCUGCUGUCGCUCUAGGUCUAGUGCCUUAGAGCCUUUGGAUCUGCUCCCUGUGUUGGCGUUAAACGGACUCCGCUUGCGCUGCCACACUACGCAAUAAGCGUGGCCAUUGCUCCCGAAGCUUCCCGUCGCAGCCGUGCUACGGGUUGCACCCCGGGAGCCGCACUUUGGCUCCUCGCCAUAGGACCGAUUCGGCGGUCGACCACGUGGCAUCUUAGGUCGUCACGAGGUGGCAUAUGCUUCCUGAAAGAAGCAAUUCACAUUAGUUACUCAUUACUAUACGAAAUUACCCAAUGUCGGCGCAAGAGAAUGUAAGCUGUAUUUAUUUUUCUUACACAAGCAUCAUGUCGUCUGGCGCCAAUCAGCAACACAAGGAAAAGAAAACAAAUAACAACUUAAUUUAGUCCCUCCCACCUUAGAGACAUGCUAACAAUACACCAAAUCAAUCUUUCGCGGUAUACUAUUGAUUCAACGGUCACUCACGUCUCCCUAGGUGCCUUAACGGUCUUUCCCCACCUAGAGGGUCUCUAUCGUCCCAUCCUCUAUGUCCUUUCACCUUUGUGGCUGUUUACGCUAAUGGAUACAUUAUAUCUUACGUCCUGGGGGGAGCCCCGAUCCUUUUUGGCGUCGGGCGGCCGCGGUGCGAAUAUAGCGCGAACGAGAGCAGAGUCUCCCGCUGUCCCCCCAAGGCUCACAUCCUAGACAAUAGAGUGAUGAAUUUUGACAAAACGGGAAGAUGACGCAAUGGCUUGCACGAGGGCAAGCGAUAUGCAAUAGUGAAGAUAAGUAAACUGACACUUAGAAGAAUCAUUACAUUUUGCAUCAUUUCUUCUCUUUUACAUCCAAUCGGAAUUAAAUAUAAGUUCUUCGUAGUUGCAAAUAUAAAAAUAUCUUUACAUCAUUCCUUGCUUCUUUGCUUACAUCUCUCACUCAUUCAAAUGGUGCGUGUAUAAAGAUUAUGAACUACAAAUGUGGAAAAACCUACGGGAAGUCUCUAUUAGGCCGAUGCUCUUACCGCGGUCGGCGUCGGCUCGCUCCGGAGUCAGGCUCCUGUGAGAAAUAGUUGGCGGAGAGAAUACAAAUUAAGGUCCAGGUGGGUUCGGCAACGGAUGACGCCGACUUUCCCACAGGAUCUAAAUCAGGCAAAUAGAAGUAAUAGUAGUAUACCAAGCUAAAGCAAGCAGCUAAUAUCGCCUGAACAAUAAAAUAAUGCUCAUGGCUCAUAAAGUACUCCAUGAUGAAUACAAGGUCACUGCUCAGAACCCAAAUCUCUAGGCUCAGCCGUAGGUUCGGGCCCACAUGACUCCCCCACUUCAAAUUCCGAGUAUCGGGGAAUACUACACCCGACAGGACCGUCCUCUGGGGGAGGGAGACUCACCGGAGUGAUAACAACUCCGGAGCACAUAGCCGAGAGGAGCUGACCACCCUCGAGUAACGGCCGAGCGACUCACACGGCAAGCGCGNNNNNNNNNNNNNNNNNNNNNNNNNNNNNNNNNNNNNNNNNNNNNNNNNNNNNNNNNNNNNNNNNNNNNNNNNNNNNNNNNNNNNNNNNNNNNNNNNNNNUACUAAUAAUGUUAGAAUAAGGAAGGUAAAAGAAUGUAGGGAUUCAUUUCCGGCUGAGUCCCAUGGCGAUAGAGACCAGAGCCACCAUCCCGCGAUUGAUACUACGAUGCGGGAGCGGAGCGCGGCGGCGCGGCGAGUGCACACUUGGACAUUGGUUAAAUCGGAUUGUAUUUGGAAGUUAAAUGUAAUAAGUAUUUGGGAUGUAAAAUGUAUGAAUGUGAAUGUAUGUAAUAACAUAGGAUGUGUUAUGUUGUUUGAUACCUUCCAUUAUGCAAUCUUUGAUUGAAAUGUGUUUCUGGUUGGAAUUUUGUACAUUAUAUUGAUUGCGACGCCUUGAAUGUACAGGGGAGACUCUGUCCGCGGUACAGAAAAAAUCCUGUCCGUUCGGCGGUCUGUUGCGGCGCCGCGACCCUGCCAAAUAGGCGGGCGGUCGCGGGGCGUGACAGGAAACUAGACACAUACGGUGUUCUAAUCUCACAAGAAGCCACACUAAAAACUCUUUAAUAGUAGAAUUAACUAACCAAGUAGAUAUAGUUAAUAGGAUUGUCGAUUCGUAAGCUCAAUCAUUGAAAACAAUUUAUGACUAUAUAUAAAAAGCUCUAUACUCAUAAGAGUAUAGUAGCCCUAGCAUAUAGUUAAAAAAAUCUUAAAGAGCAUCUCAACUAAAAAUUAGCGAGUUAUUUCUGUUUAAUUUCUUGGUGGUUUUGGAACAGGAUCAUGUAUGUGGCUUUUGUAGCGUGGGUCAUCAGUAUUUAUACUUGUGAAUUGGAGCGUAAGGAGGAAAAAAGUUCUCAUGGAAAGAGAGAGCUAGGGCUGGGAAAUUUAGAAAAAGGGCUCCGACUGAAUUUAUCUUGUGUAUAAGAGAUGUCAGAUAUAAUUCAUCUCUUGAUCGGCGAACCUUAUUUCACAUAUAUUUUUCAGUUUAUUUUUUCUCUGUUUUUUUGGUUUCUUUUCUUUUUUGGUUUCAAAGCGACGAAUUUAUGGCAAAAUUUCUUUGGAUGCUUCUAUUGUGAAAUUCCAUUUAUCGUACCAACCAUCCCUAGCGCAAGUGGCAAAGAGCUUUGUGGUUGGGACCCAAAGUCCCAAGUUUGAAUCUUACUUGAUUCACAUUUCCAACUAAGUUUAUUUUUAAAAGAAAUAAACAAAGCAUGUAGCAUGCUAUCUAUCUCUCAAAAAAAGAAAUUCCAUUUAUCAUUAAUGGGACAACUAUUGGAUUUAUAGUAAUUUAUGCAGGAGCAAUUUAUAGAUUAUCAAUAGUUAAUAAGUCAUCUCGUCAACUAUAAUAAUUGAUAUAUGAAAAGACUCGAGCUUUAAUUUUUAGCAUUACUUUGGAUUUGUUCUAUUGAAGGUUUUCUGUAAAACACUAUUAAUCUCCAUAAUUUCAAUCCAUAUGUCAUGCUCUCCUUAAGGUUUGCCGAUGAGACCUGCCUGCCAGAGUCUCUCAUUUUUUUGAUUUCUGCUCUACAAUCAUUUCGCUCUUUGAUCACUACUCCACAGUAUGCCCGCUCGCCUUCCCCGGCCGUAACGUCCUCUUUGGCUUUCUGCCUCCUUAAAUGCUACUUUUCAAUCAGUUUGCUCUUCGUUCGCUCCUCCGUAUUAUGCCCGUUCGCCUUUCUUGUAAAGUCGUUGCCUCUUCAGCUUUUCCACCUUAUUAAUUUCUACUCUCAUAAUAAAUGAUAAAGAAGAAGACAUAAAAAAUGAUAAGAGUGUUUUUUUUUUUUUUUUUUUUUUUUUUUUGAGAGAGAGAGAGAGAGAGAGAGAGAGAGAGAGAGAGAGGUAGCACGCUACCCGCUUUGUUUAUUUCAUUUAGAAAUAAAUUUAGCUUGAAAUGUGAAUCAACUAGGAUUCGAACUUGGAUCUCGGGUGCCAACCAUCAAGCCCUUUGCCACUUGCUUUAGGAACGGUCGGUAUAAGAGUAAAAUUGUUAAGAAUACUGAAUAACUUGUUAUAUUUCAUCAAUAAUCUAAACAUAAUAUAUAGGUUAUUGGCAAAUGGAUGUAUGGAAAUUGAGUCUUUAAUUACAAUUUAGGUACUUAGACUACAUUAUUACUUUAAAAUUUAUUCAUAUGUCUGUCAUAUUUUCCUUUCUACCUUCUCUUCAGUUUUUUUUGCAUUCUGUUGUAUUCAUAGUGCAUUUAAAUUUCUUUUCUUCUCAAAAAUUCGAACCCGAACCCGAACCCGAAAAUCAAAUUAAAACUUGUACCCGGAUCUGAACCCGGCGGGUUUUAAAAAUUUAUACUCAUAUCCAUACCCGACCAAAAACCCGAAACCCGAAUCCGGAUCCGAACCCGGCGAGUUUUAAAAAUCCAUACCGUUGAAUAAAGAUCUAAGGGAUAAAAAUUAUUAAAUAUUUUAUAUAUUAUAUAAAUAAAUAAAAAUAAAUUAUAUAUAUAUAUAUAUAUAUAUAUAUAUAUAUAUAUAUAUAUAUAUAUAUAUAUAUAUAUAAUUUAUUCGGGUUUGGGUUCGGGUUCGGGUCUAGUAAAUACAAAAUCCAUAACCGUAUCCAUAUUUGUCAAGUUUUUAUUUUCUAUACCCAUAAUAGAAUUCAUACCUGUUUAGCUCAGGUAAAUCCGUCCUGUUCGGAUUCAGGUUGGGAUAAUUUUCGGGUAUCCGUACCCAUUGACAUCCGUAUCUAAAACACAAUAGAAUUAAUCGCAUACAUCCUAACAUUAUUUUUAUUCCAUGUUCUAGAACAACUGUUUAGCUCCAUUUUUAUUCUUCCACUUGAAUUCUAUUACUGUAGAAAACGAAAACGAAACGAUUAACCUAGAAUAACACACCAGACCAUUUUUUUAGGACCAAUGGGUUAAAAUUAUUAAAACCUCAGAUAUUAUAUAGUAAAGGGAAAUUAACAGGAAGGACAUCAUUUUAUAGACAUGAGAGAGAACAACCAAUCUCUUGCUUAGAAGGAGAUAAAGUCGUUUUAGGAUUAAUUGAUAAAGAUUCAGAAGAACAAGUAUUCAAACAAAAUUUAGACUUAAUGCAUUUGGGAUUAAUUGUGAUAGGCAUAAACAGAACCUACGCGCGUACACCGGCACCAUUAGGAUUAACAAAAAUGGAUAUGAAUCACAACAGAGGCAUAUUUUAUUUUAUUUUUUUUUUGAGAGAUAGGUAGCACGCUACCCGCUUCGUUUAUUUCAUUUAGAAAUAUACUUAGCUGGAAAUGUGAAUCAACUAGGAUUCGAACUUGGGUCUCGGGUACCAACCACCAAACCCUUUGCCACUUAGCUGGAAAUGUGAGGCAUAUUUUAUUGUAGUCCAGAUUUUCUUAUGCAAACUGAGAAAUUUGCAAAACAUGUAAAAUUAGUAGAAAUUCAGACAAAAAUGUGGUUGGUACAAACCUAAUGAUAUGUGUUGGUUAAUUAUGUAGGAUUAUUAACAGAAACAAGCCGAACAAAUUUUAAAUUAAAAUAUUGACGGCGUAGUAGGAUUUAGAUUUACCUACUAACGAAUCAUCGUCUAAUCUAAACCUACCAAUAAAUAAUGAACUAAAUUUAGUUUAUUUAGAUUCUAAUUUAGUUAAUUUAGAGUCUAAUUUUAUAAAUAGUGAAGAAGGUGAAGAAGACGAAGAAGAAGACGACUUAAGUCCAGAAGAAGAACAAAUGUUAACUGAAUAGAUAAGACAAAAGAGGAAAGAAAGAGCAGAAAGGGAUAACGAAUUUGGGGCCCAAAUCAAUACAAAUCUUUCUUUUCUUUUAAUGAUCUAGAAAUUAUUAACAAAUUUUUAGACAAAUUGGAAGUAGUAGUUGAUAAUAAUCGAAUUUUUAGACAAUUUGAACUAGUUGAUAAUAAUCCCAAGAAUCCAAAACCCAGUUUAGAAAUAAAACACUUGCUGAAAAACUAGGCCAGAGAUCUUUUGCACCAGCAGAAUCAGCAACCACAAUAACACCAUAUUCAUCAGGAAAUUAAUGUUCCGAGAAAACCAGUAUCUUAUGCAAUCGAUCAAGAAAUUUAUCCAUAUGGAAGAAAUGUAAAAUCCCGAGGAAAACGUUUGCCAUUAGAUAAACCUAUCAAAUUUCAAGACACAGGAUCAAGAAAAAUCCUCAAUAUAGUGGCCCAUGAUCCUCAUACUUGGAAUCUAGCCAUCACGGACACUGACACGAGACAUAAGACACGACACGACUCGAACACGAUGACUCGAUAGCUUUCAAAAAAUUAGGACACGGACACGGCAUGAACGCCGCUAAUAAAAUAUAAUAUUAUUAAAAUAAUAAUAUAUAUUUAUUAUGUAUAAAAUAUUAAUUUUGAUAAAAUAUUAUUAUAUUUCUCAUUCGAAUGGAAGUUAAUAAAAUUUUUAUUAAUAAUUCAUAUAUUUUAAGAAAAAAAUUCUGCACCAUAUAUAUAUUCUCAAAAAAAUUAUAUGCAUUCAUCAAAAAGCUAAAAUAUUUAUCAUCUUAUAUUUAUAACGCAUAAAAAAAAGUAAAAUAAAAAAUAUGUAUAUCUUUUUUUUUUUAUUUGCGUUAUAAAUCGGCAUUAAAUACGCGUCCAAGGAGUGUCCACAUAGGACACGUGUCCGACAUGGAUACAUGAGUGUUCGACACGGACACACUAGGCUAAUAGAAGUGUCCGUGAUACACAGCUUGGAAUACUAUUAUACAUGUAUGGAAAGGGUUAGUACGAGCCCAUUACAUUCGAAAUAUUUCUAGGGAUAAUGCAGAAGAAAUGUAUUGAUACCCAGAGACAUUUUUGGGAGAAUCAGUGAAAGGACUCUGGGAACAAAUUAAAACUAACUACCCAACUGAUUUUCAAGAACUAAAACUAAUCCAUAUAUUUUGUUAAUAAACUACACUCUUUGGUUACUGGCCAAGAGCUGCAUUCUAGUCAUAUAGGAUUACAAAAGGAUGCAUUAAUAAAAUUAGAACAAUUACCGACUGUCCCUAGAGCAAGUGGCAAAAGGCUUGGUGGUUGGUACCUGAGACUCAAGUUUGAAUCCUAGUUGAUUCACAUUUCCAGCUAAGUUUAUUUCUAAAUGAAAUAAACGAAGCAGGUAGCAUGCUACCUAUCUCUCAAAAAAAGAAAAAAGAAAAAAAGAACAAUUAAGUAUUGACAAUUAGAUAUAUAUUAAAAGUUCUUCAAUGAUUACUUUUGUUACUCUAGUAUUAGUGGAAAUUCUUCAAGUAAUGAGCUCGGAGACAAGUUAUUUAAUAAAUUACCUGGAGCAUUAGGAAGGGAAAUCACAAGAAGAUGGGAAGAACUACUGGUUGUAAAAGGUAGUCCCAAGACAGGUUGGUCUAUAGGACAUAGGAUUCAAUUUAUUAUCACUAUUUUACAAGAAAAGUGUACUAAUAUCCUAUUUUAAUCCCGUGUUUUGAAAUUUACUAGGUUUCUCUAAUGACAAACGUUUUCCUCGGGAUUUUACAUUUCUUCCAUAUGGAUAAAUUUCUUGUUUGGUUGCAUAAGAUACUGGUUUUCUUGGAAUUAACAUUUCCUGUGAGCCUAGAAAACGUUUUACGCAUAAUCUGUCGUUUCUCUGGAAUAUCUUUGAAUGGGCCUCCGGCUUCAGGAUCAAUAUGAGGAAAUCGGAACUAUACUACCUGGGAUCCAACCCUCGUAAAGUUGUUAGACCUGCCAACAUCUUACAAUGCAAAGUUGGUAAGCUACCUUUUCGCUACCUGGGACUACCCCUCCACAACUCGAAACUUCGAAAGGAGCACUGGUCUGUGGUUAUCAACCGCAUAGAGGCCAAAAUCGACAGCUAGAAAGCUAAACUACUCUCCCUAGGGGGUGGACUAACCCUGGUCAAUUCGGUACUCACCAACCUACCACUUUUCUAUUUCUCGAUCUUCAAAGCACCACAAUAGGUAUUGCACCGGAUAGAAGGCCUCAGAAGAGCUUCCUUCUGGAAAAGAUGCUCAAAAGUUACCUGUGGGGCAUGUCUCGUCAAUUGGAAAUCUAUCUGUAGAAGCAAGAGAGGAGGAUUACGGAUUCUUGACAUGGAAUGCAUGAAUUCGGCUCUUUUAACCAAAUGGUGGUGGCGAUACUUUUCUGACCCAAACCUACUCUGGUGCAGAUUAGCCAGAUCCCUCUACUACACCAGAAGAAGGCCAUUACUUGACGGCAGAGCAUUUGCUCCCUAUUUGCAGUGGUGGACAGGUGUGGUCCGGUGUCGAGACAUGUUCGCCUGUGGCGUGACUUACGAGCUAGGUGACGGAAGGAACAUUAGGAUGUGGAACGACAUCUGGAUAGGGGAAACCUCCCUUCGUACUCGUUUUUCGGAUAUCUACCAGAUCUCUAUGAACAAGGAGGCUCGUGUUUCCCAGUGCUGGAAUCAUGGCGGAUGGAGAUUGUGUUUUAUAUGCCGCGGCUACUCGGCGUCACGACCCAUCGAAAACCGUAGACAGCUAACGACGUUUAAAGACUUGCUCCGAGGCCAUCGCCCCUGCGACAGUCCAAACUCAAUUUAAUGGAGGUGGACCAAUCAACUAUUCUGUCACGCCCCGGGUUACACAUUUCCCCGAGCACGCCAACAGACCCGCCGUAUACGAAGAAAUUUUUUCUGUAUACGAAGCGAAGCUGUACUGAAACUGUAAUCAAACAACACUACAACCAGUAGUAUAGAGCUGCUAGAAAGAAAAAGAACAAGAAAAACAAAAGCGAGUUCCAUAUACAUACAUAAAAUCCAGGUACAAAAAGGACUCGCCCCAACAAGUCAUAACAUCUGUAUGUACAUGAACUCAACAGAAGUAAAUCUACCUGCAGCAGGGAUCCUCUAUCUCAGCAACUCGUCGGGUAGGGCUCUAGCUCGCAACGCUCUUGUCACGAUCAGUCCCAGAAGAUGCAAUAGCCGGAACCGAUGGCUCUGCAAAAGAAGGGUAACAACUGGGCGUAAGAACUAUUGUAAAACAAGUAGUCCUCAGUGGGUGCCGCCCUCAACAUCAUCGGACCACCCACUAAGUCUACAGAAGGAAGUAAAGAUAAUAGGGAAAGCUGGAAGACAAUCUACAGCUACAUGCCACUACACUAUCAUGCUCUACACUAACCAACUGUAGUAAAAGUAAAUCCUGACCCAAUCUCAUCAGGGACUGUGAUACACCCGUCCCGCCUAUCGAAGCUAUACUAACAAACACCACGAUAGGUAGUUAGUGGAGAGCAAGUCCAACUAGGACACAAUGACACCAACGCAAAAGCACAAAGCACGACUCCGGAGUGGCACUCGUGGGAGCUACCCAACCGAGUAUGCAAGCGUAUCUCUGUCUAGCUCAAUCAGGCUCUCAUAGGCUAUAGUCAAGUACACAGGGUCAAAUUGAUCAACCAACAUGUCACGUGCCCUCAGCACAAUCUGAUGCUAAAAUGGCAAACCUGGUCCACCGUCCGUCCCGACGGCACCCAACAGUCCAGAACAAUCUGAACUCUACUGUAAAAAUAGGCUCGACAUCCCAGCACGAGCGUAACAGUAAACUACACUACCUAGGGUAUCCACCACACUAAUACUGCGACGAUACAAAAAUCAUAAUGGCUCCUAGAGCUAAAUCUAGUAGUGUAAACAGGUGACAGAUCCAUAACACUGAUUUUCUCCUAUGUCAUAUCCAAGUCCAACAUGUAUACUUUAUCCAUAAUAAAACUAAGCUCCAAAUUCAGUUUAGAUGUCAACAACAUGAAAGAUCAUGAAUUCGAGCUAUUUACACGUGAAAUGCAUCCACCAAAUAUACAUGCCGACAACGAGACAUUAGGAAUAGAAUUCGAUGAUAAACCUACCUCGAAACGCUAAACCGGCACCGGCGCGACGUCGAAACGGUGGAAUCACAUGCUCGCUCGGCCUCCCAACGCAGCCACCACAACGCUCGUGUGCUCUAACAGUUCCGCGGCGCGACGUCGGCGUCAACCCAAGCUCCACGGCAACUCCACCGGAGCUCCACACGAUCGGACCAAGCUAGAGAGAGAGAGAUGAAGAAGCAAUAAAAAUCUAUCUCUCUAACCCUUUACAUACAUAUAAGCGGUGGAGAGGAGUGGGUGACACAAACGAGGUGAGAAAUGACUCAUUUGCCCUCUCACCUAUCCCCAUGUAGCGGUACAAGGCACCUGUACCGGUACAGAUGGCAACCCGAGAGCAGCUGCUGGCCAAUCGGGCGAAGUGUACCGGUAUACCUUCGAUGCUGUACCGGUACAGAAAGUGUACCGGUACAACCCUGAUGUUGUACUGGUACAACAAGCAGAAAAUCUGCAAAUUCGCAGAUUCCACUGCUAACUCCUGCUCUUGCGUCUCCGCUGAGUCCGUUUUGCGUCUAUUUCGUGCCAACGAGACUCGGACUUGUCCCGACACCCUCACGGCGUGUCGACAAGCCUCAAAAAGCUGAACACCAGGGAUACUACAUAUUCACUGUCAAAUCCCUCUACCAGUUCAUCACAGAUGCGGGACAGCGUGUCCCAACGAACCGGUAUAUCUAGAAACUGAAAAUUCUGACCAAAAUCAAAGUCUUCAUUUGGUUGCUGCUACGGAAGAGUUUACUCACUGUUGAUAGACUACUCAAACGCGGAAUGCUCAUUGAUCAGCACUGUGUCUUCUUUGCGGUACUCACGGAAAGCUGUGACCAUCUAUUCUGUACAUGCGUAUAUGUAAGAUACCUGCUCCUCAGUAUGGAAGGAUGGGGUACAAUUGAUGACAGCACGGGCGACGUCAACACUCUCUGGACUGGAUCGUGCGACAUCCCGGUUGACUCUUCGAGAACACAAGGCUUGACCCUCUUGGCUGCGACUUGGUAGGUGAUCUGGACAGAUAGAAACAACGCAAUUUUCCGAGGAACCAUGCACAACGCUACCCGGUCUCUUGAACGUAUCAAACUUCUGCUAAACGAUUGGAACUCACUAUUGUGAUGUGCUGUUUGGGCUUCAGCUACUAUCCCUCCUCUCCCUACUAACACCCCUCUUUUCGUUUUUCUCUUUGUUUUCUUUUUACCUUUCAUUUUUACUUCAUUCUUUUUUGCCUGUUUUUUCGGAGGCCCUGGCUGCUUCCAUAUUAUACGCUUAAUUCAUUUUGCUUAAUAAAUGAAGCUGGUAGCUUGCUACCUAUUUCUCAAAAAAAACAUUUCUUGAUGAAUAUGGUUUAGGAGCUCUAGCUACAAUGUCAUGAAACGGUGUUCUUAUGGUUGUCGAUUCGGCUUGCGCAGAAGAUCCUUGGCCUUCUUCAGCAAGUGUUAUUUCUAAACUGUGUUUUGGAUUUUUGGGAUUAAUCUAUUUCGAUUUCGAUUCUACUAAAUUAAUUCACCUAAAUUUUACGAAUUUAGAAUGUACCAAAAGACUAUCACUAUAAGAAUCUAGAAUGUCGACAUGAGUGGCAUUUGGAAAUAGGAUUAGAUAGUAAUCCUUGCAAUAGAAUUCAAAAUGACCUUCAAAAUGACUUUUUGGACAUUUUGAAAUAAUUUAUAGCCUGUAUUAACUCAUUAAUAGAAUAUUUUCGAACCAUUAAAACCAACUGUUUUUUCUUCUUUGUCGUCUUUAGAGGACAUAAAAUAGGAGUUUUCCACACAUGGCUAGAAGUUGUAGAACAAACCCACAAUAUCCCUAAUCCUCGGUUUAAGAGCUUUACCACUCUUUUGGGAGCCCUACAUACAACGCGUCAUUUCUUUGGUCUAAUUUUUUUCAUUUCUCCAUCUAUCCGAAAAUCCCAAGAAAUACCUCCCUCCCAUAGUAUUGUUCAUAAUAAUAGCAAAAUAAUUUUUUGUAAUCAUUGCGAGACAUUGACAAGAACAGUAGUCCACAAACUCCAUUAGAGUAGUCAAGCAGUGAUAGAAGAAAAACAUACCUUACAACAUGAAAUCAAACAAUUAAAAGAAAGAUUAGCAAUCUUAAUCUUCGAGCUCAAUCUUCACAACAAAAAUAAAUAAAUAAAAAAAGUAAGGAGAAGAAAAAAAGGAAGAUGAAUUAGAAAGAAAAUAUUAGAAGAAAUUCCACAUUGAUUACAGCCCCUACUAGGAGUCAGAAUUAUCUCAGAAGACAUUCAACAACCACCAGCAAGAAGACAAAUACCAUCAUCUAGCAGUGACUCUACUGGACUCUCUUCUCUACUUCCUUCACCAGAAUGGACCGGCAAAGGCGCUAGAAUUUCUAAAUUUUAUAUAUAUAUAUAUAUAUAUAUAUAGAGAGAGUGNGGUCCGAAAAUUUCGGAUGUCAUUCCGGUAGAUCAAACAGUGAAAGUAGCAUCACUGUUGAGAGAACGGUCGAUUAGUGGCCAAGUUUGAGCACAUGGGCCUAGUAGUACCUCAAGGUGAGGUAGGCGGUUGUACUCGUGCGACCAGUGUGCAUAGGCAGGAUUGCCUAACACUGGACUUAGUGUGCAACGCUAUGGAGGCGUAUGACGUUUGAGUAGAGUUACUCAUGGAGUGCGAACUGGGUUCAGCCGAGUGAGUGAGUUGGCAGUAGCACUUGAGCAUUGCUAGGUGUGAAGCAUGCCAUGGAUCACUCGUGGGACAGGUGACUCGCAUUAGAUGCAUAGUAGCCGGUAGUGGUGCGUGUGGCUCGGUAGAGCGUGUCGUGCGAUUGAUAGUACACCGAGAGUACGAGUGUGACCCAACCCGGGAAUCUGUAACGGUUUGGGAUCUUAGUUGCUCCUUGUUGGAGUGUGUGCGAAUUCCCAAGUGAGAAUUUCGCCCGAUCAUGAUUGGGUCUGCAUUUGCGAGCGAGGGACGCUGUGUAUUGAGACAGGUUUAAGCUGUAGGCCUACGUAGGAUUGGUGGACUUUGGUCCACCUGUGGAGACCGACGAGAGCGAUUUGGCAGAUAGCCUUAUCGAAGGGUUUGACUCGAAUUCACGAACGAAGCGCUCGUGUGAGCUCAUUGCAAAAAUAGUUUGAUGUUAAUCGUGGCAUGUGGUAUCAGAUGAUGAAGUACUCAUUGUGAGACAUCAAACGAGUGGAAAGCCACGUGAUGUUGGAGAUUAUGCUCGUAAGCGAACUAAGACUUGAGAGGUGCCGAAGUGAGCCAUCUCACGUUAAAGUUAAUGGUCAGUGCGAAAUUAGAGCACUCAUAACGGAGCGAUACAUCGGUGAUAUUGCUCCUAAGCAAUGUCGGUGAUCGAAUCAGAAUGUAUUCCCUGAAGGGAAGGUAAGUGCAAAGAAGAGUUCUUUGUGUAUCGAAUGGUGAGUGGUGUUGGAGCGCGUAGAGUCGUCGAGUAUCGACUUGCGCUGCCACUAUGACUUGCAAGACCCGUGAUGCACUUUUGUAUCACACCUUGCAAAUGUGUUUAGGGUUAAACCCACGUCCUUCAGUAUGAGCCGCUUNUGAUCUGCACUAUUGAAAGUAUUUAGAAACUAAAUUUUAUAAUUUUUCGAUAUUAUUUACCUAUCAAACAAGUAGUCUAAAAUUGAACGACUGAAAAUAAAAAUCUCAUAAAAAAUGAUGAUAAAAGAUUUAAAUUCAAGAUCAGAUAUACUGAUCUUACUCUAAAUAGUGAAAAGAAUUUUCUAUAAAAUUUUCAUUGCAUUUGGAUUGUUUUACACCGUUAAACUUACAAACACACCACAUCGGCCAUUAAAAUUGUUAAUUUUGAGAUCUUUUGAUCACUAGUCAUAUGAUGUCGAAAAAAUUUAAAAUUUAGUUUCCAAAUACUUUCAAUAGUGUAGAUCAAGUUUAACGGAGCCGAUCAUCAAUUUGGAAGCCGCAUCAUCGAUAACAACUUGGUAGCACGGUGCGCUCCGUGCUACCGAUAGCAUAAUAGCCGGACUAUAUAUAUAUAUAUAUAUANNNNNNNNNNNNNNNNNNNNNNNNNNUNAGCAAAAAAAAUUUUUUGUUAUGAAAUUUUUAACUCUUGAAUGAAAAAUUGUAAGAUUAAGAUGAUAUUAGUCCUUUCUGGUUGAAUGAUCCCUACUGAAUUAUAAUAUAUAAUCCAAUGAAUAAAAAUAAUAAAAAUAAUUGAUCCAAAACUAAAAAUUUGAUAGUAAAAAUUAUUUUUUGCUAUCAAUAAUAUUCUAGCCCAUCUCUCUCUCUCUCUCUCUCUCUCUCUCUCUCUCUCUCUCUCUCUCUCUCUCUCGCUAUAGAGCUAGCUGGGGUUUCUGAGCUUGAUCAAAAGAAAAAAAUCAGAGCAUCUCCAGUCAACAUCAACAAGGCAUCAUCCACAGGCUCUAGUUAACAUCAAGGGAACAACACGUCAAUAUCAACACAGCCAUCUUCCGUACACCGAGCAUCUUUAAAAGCACUCUUCUGGCACCUUCAAUGCCCUUCCAUAUCCUUCUACGGCUCAAAAAAAGUAAAGACUUAUGUAUCGCAAGCUUUUCUAGCUAGCUGGCGAAUAUGUUUACAAAAAGACGAUUCGCACUAACAACUUCUACGAUCCUCCACCACCUGCAGACCAUCUACAAUAGGAAGCAUCAACUUUACAGCGUACUACGGGGCAUCUCCUUUUUACGACUCACUAGCUUCUAUACCCUUCUCCACCGCCUCAGUCCAUCUAUAAAUAGAAGGCAACUUCACGUACCAAAAAUGUGACAUCUCAGUAAUUUCAUAUCGAAUAAUGUGAGAAAGUUUGAUAGAUUUAUAAGUGACGAACACUUUAGUAAUAAUAAUCGGGUUUAAAUAUUUUGGGCCGCUGGUUUGGGUCCAACGAGUUAUUAUUGCUAGCAGUUUUGAUCGUUACUUUUGGUAUCAGAUCUUGAUAAUCAGCCGAAAGUGUGAGAUAGAUAUCACAUCGCUUGGUGAAUCUGGGACUGUGUAUGAUUGGGCCGGGCUUUCGCCUGGUGAAUCUGGGACUGUGUAUGAUUGGGCCGGGCUAAUGAACACGUCAAGGCCUAAACGAGGGGUCCCACAUUGAAUAAUAUGGGAGAAUGUGAUGGAUUUAUAAGUGAUGAACACACUAGUAAUAAGAGUAGUAGUUCAGUAUUUUCUCUCCUCUUCUUUCUUUUAUAGAACUCUUUUCUACCCAUCUUAUAAUUAUAAAAGCUCUUUCUACCCAUCUUAAAGAUAGUGUUUGAAUUGGGUACAAGAGAGGGGAUAAGAUGGUUAUCCCCCCUCUUGUACCCAAACACUAAUUUGGGUGGGUGGGAACACUUGUUCCCACCUACCCGGUACAACCGAGUAUAGGUGAGAACAGGGGUGGGAACAAUUUGUUCCCAUCCCCCGGGUAGAGAGAGAGAGAGAGAGAAAUUUUUGUUUUAAAUUUAAAUUUAAAUUUUUAAAAUUUAAAAUUUAUAAUUUUGAAAUUAAAAGUUUAAAUUUUAAAUUUGAUAUUUUUAAAUUGUAAAUUUUAAAUUUGAUAUUUUUAAUUUUUAAAUUUUAAAUUUGAUAUUUUAUUUCUUUCAAAUUUAAAUUUGGUCUUAAAUUUAAAAUUUGAUAUUUAAAAUUAAAAUUUUAAUUUUUAAUUUUAAAUUUUAAAAUUUAAAAGUUAAAAUUUAAAAUUAUAAGUUUCAAAUUUAAAAAUUUAAAUUCAAUUAUAUGGGUAAUAUCAUUAUUUUCUAUUUAUAACUACCAACUUGUAAUAUGCGGACUUUUGAUACUUGUGUAGGUGUGAGAAAGAGGGUGGAAAUGAGGUGAAACCGUUUUGGCGCGAAAUUGACGCGAAAACGGAUAAAUUGCGCCAAUAUUUCUUUAUGAGGGACCAUAUUACAAAUAGCAAAAUUACUGGAUUAAGUUGCAAAAUGGCUUGAUCUUAUCCUCUCUCCCUCUCUCUCUCCCUUUGAAGCUGCCAGAAAACAAGAGAAAAGAAAGAGAGAAAGAGAGAAGAAGAAGAAGAAGAAGAAGAUGAAGAUAACUUGGAGGCAAGGUAAAAAUUUCCAUUCUUCUCUUUCCCUUCCCUUCUUCUUCCCUUUCUUUUCCCUUCUUUCCUCUCUUCUCCUUUCCUUCUUCCUUUCCUUCUUCCUUUCCUUCUUUCCUCUUCUUCCCCUGCUGCUGCUGGUGCAGUUUUGCAACCUUGCUGCUGCUGCGAGGUACUGUAGCAGCAGCAGCAGCAGCUCAGCAGCAGCAGCAGCUCAGCAGCAGCAGCAGCAGAUUGCUGCUGCAGGCUGCCCAGUAGCAGCAACAAAUUGUUGCUACUGCAGAGGCAGCAAAAAAGAAAGAAAGAAAAGGAAAAGAGAAGAGGAAAAGAAGAAAUGAAAGGAAGAGGAAGAAUGAAAAAGAGAAAUCAAGAGAGAGAGAGAGAGAUGGAAAGAAAAGAAUAGAUAGAAUAACAUGAAUGAAGUGGAUGUAGAAAUUGGAUCGAGUGAUGCAAUUGCCAUGAUUCGCACCUCUAAUCUUCAAUUGAUGCACGCAGGGUGUUCGAGAGUGUGAAUUAGUGUGAUACACAUUUCCGAUGAGGCGCAAUGAGGUGCAAUUUAAGUAAUUUCGGAAAAUCGUGCGAAGGGUCGCGUGUAGCCUUUCUUUUAUCGGAGUCGACAUAGCGAGUCGAGGUGGGUUCCGAGUCGUCGAAAACGGCGAAUUUCCCCCUAUGUCUAUUUUGGUACAAGCUAUAUAAUAUUUGAAUUUGCGCAUCUAAUUUAUCUUUUUAUUGAUCCUCAGACCGUGAAAAAUUGAAGCAUGAUAGAGAUUUAGCAUUGACAUCUGAUUAUGCGCGGAAGUAUGUAUAUGCAUAUGCGUAUGGUGAUCCACCUUAUACUCACAUUUUUAUCCAAACACAAUUUUUCUAGUUCCAGCUUAUACUUACAUUUUUAUCCAAACAAAAAAAUGCCAUUUUUCUUACAAAAAUUCAUACUUAUACUUAUCCCCGAUAUAACUAGUUCUUAUUUAUAUCCAAACCAAACGAAGCCUACGAAUCUCUUGUAUAUAAUACCGUCUCCACCUCUUCGGGCUUCCUUAAAGGGAACCCUUUUAAUGCAUCUUAUAAUAUCCUAAGAAUCCUUUGUAUAUAAUACCGUCUCCACCUAUUCGGGUUUCCUUAAAGGGAACCCUUUUAAUGUAUCUACUAGUGAAGUUACCCACGCAUUGCAGCGGGCUGAUGCUAUAGAAGACAGAAGAUUCACAAAAUAAAAAUUUUAAAUUUUUUGAAUUGCCAUAAGACAUUAAUAAAUAAAGAUAAUAUAUAUUAACAUAUACAAAUAAAAGAGAUGAAACAGAUAUACGUACAAAUGUAACAAAAUUUCAGUAAAUGAAUUAUAAAAAAUAGUAAUGAAAGAAGCAGCAAUAGAAUUAUUACUCCAUACGUAUCUUGAUCACACUACCGACAUCGGGGAGACGAAUACCCAUCUCCACAUUACCUUUGCCACCAUUAUCAACGUCGAGCUCCUUUUUCGUCACUGCCACGUUGAUUCCCUACAGAUCUCUCCAAACGUACCACUUCUUUCCUCUCAUUGACUCCAAAUCUAUCUUCGCUUUUCCCCGCGAUGCUGCGCUACAAUCCACGAAACUCUAAUUUCAAUACACAUACAAUUUAAAAACAAAAAGAUAAAAAAAUAAAAAAAAUUACAAAAUAUGAACCAUUCUUAUGCGCCAAAAAAAUAAAAAAAAAAGAGUACGAAGAAAUCUUAUUUUACUUAUUUUCUUUUAUGAAAGCAAUUUGUAUAUAUGAAAUUGGACCAUAAAAAAAAUACAUCUCUUAUUUUUGUAACAGAGGACUAUUAGCGUGUAAGAGAGUCCACAAAGCGAGGGCAAAGCGAGAGCUUUGGUGACGUUCACGGGUACGCCUAGCCUCGCCCCUUCUCAUAUGGCCUCGCAGAGGCAUGUGACGCUCCGGCUUAGCACGUGAUCGAGCCCGGAGCAGCAACCCCGAUUCGGCACCGUUCGCCCCGCCCUCCACAAACUCCAAGCAUUCGCUGAACCCAAACAAUGCGCCCGAACAAUCAUGGCUCGACCCGAAUGGCGUUGAUGGGUUCGUACUCGCGUUCGAGAAUAAUAAUAAGAAUAAUAGAAUGAAGAGUUGGUUUGUAACAUAGGACAUUGUUGGAGUGUGGUAUUUGGUUUCGGAGAAUGAGGAGAUGAUGAUGAUGGGGUUUUAGUGGUGCUAAUUGUGUGGAUCAUCGUAAUUAUUAAAGUUAAUGAUGCGUUAGUAACUCCUUGGUGGGGAGAUGAAGAGUGUGGGUUUAAGAUCGUAAUUAUUAAAGUUAAUGAUGCGUUAAUAACUCCUUGGUGGGGAGAUGAAGAGUGUGGGUUGUGAUUAGAGAAGAGAGGAGAAGGUAAGGAUAAAGGAGGGACCGCCACGUGGCAAGACUUCAUGGAAAAUAAUGUAUAGGUAUAGAGGUAUAGAUAAUCAUGUAAGUCUCGAUGUACUUUUUAAUAUAUUAUUUUAUGUUUCUUUUGUUACGACAAACGCACAAAUGAAAACGAAAUUACGAAUACAAAAUAAACAAAUCACAAGUAGAAGCAAAAGAAAAACACACAGAUUUAUGUAAAAAAUUCUUUGCAGGAAAAAAUCACAGGCGAGGAAGAAGAGAACUUCACUAUAAAACGAAAAAAAGGGAAUACAAUAUUCAGAUAGUACAACCAACCACGAUCUCACGCCUUUAGGGCAAAAACAAAAAGGAAAACUCUUAACGAGUUUCGGAUCCGAUCCGUACCUUCACAAUUUUAUUUUUCUAUUUGGUCGCAUCGCGAAACUGUCGGCGAGUCGAAAAACUCGAACUUGAGUCGAUUAUCAAUUUUGAGUCACAUCUAACAUCUUUCAUCCAUGAUAUUUUUCUGGUUUCACCUAGAUCUAUCAGCCUAUCCGAACAUAGGUUAUGCUUAAGGUUUUUCCUUAAGAUGAAUAUUACAUCUUGAGCAAGUAUAAAGCAUAUACACUUGGCGAAUUUCAUAAGGGCUUGGGUGUCUGUUGAGGUCGUUCCGCCGUUGAGCUUAGACAUUAGGCCUUUGGACAAUUUCUUUCCCUGAAAACCGUACAUCAUGAGGGUCUUGUACACUAUCAGUCUGUCUCAAGUGGUAUUCAUCUAAGGCGAAGUCCAAAUAGUAUAGCCGGCCGUAGAAGCUUGGUCUUAGGUCUGGGGAGGACGGUCGGUCUACUAUCGAGCACAUAUUGCAUGAAAAAUAUAAUGAGAUGAAGAACCAAAAGAAAGAAAUUAAAUUAAAGAACCUUAGACUUAUAUCUCUAUAGGUACAAAAAGAAGGAAGUAUCGAUUAGGGAUAUUUUAAACCUAAUCUUCUAAAGCCUUUUACUCAUCAACCCCUAUUUCUGUUUCUUUUUUGCAUUUUAUUCUAGCCCUUUAUUUAUAUUAUAUACUAUUUGAACAAAUAUAUUAUCUACUUUAAUUUCAUUAUUAAUAUCUACUCUCUAUUUAAUAUAAAAAAAAUAGGUCAAGUAAACAAUCGCCACGUAUAUCUAACAGUAACUAUCCAAUACACAACCGACUUUCUCGAAUUUGUAGAACUAAUCGCAUACAUCCUUACACCAUAUUUAUUCCUUGUUGCAGAACUACUACUUAGCUCCAUUUUUAUUUUUCCACCUGAAUCUUAUUACGGUAGAAAAUGAAAACGAAGAAUAGGAUAAAUCUUAACUGAGCCAAGAUCAAACAGCUCGCAAGAGCACAGUACUUUAGAUGUGUUACCAUAUAUAUUACAUACCAUAUAUAUAUUAUAUAUGUUACCAUAUAUAAUAUAUAUAUAUAUAUAUUACCAUUUAUGUUAUAUAUAUUACUAUGUAUAUUACUUUCUUAUUAGGAUAAUAUUAUUUAUUUUUUUGUAUAACAGGAUAUAAUCCUGUACUUCCAUGUAAAGCUUUUCCUUUCUCUAUAUAAGAGAAUGGAUUUAGAUGAAUAAUAUACAGAAAAUUUCUCAAAUCUCUUGUUUCAGGUCUCACCCUCGGGCCCCCUCCUCUAUCGGUGGCUGAGAUCUCCGGCGACCUCCCCGUCGGUCGCCACUGUCCCCGCGCGCCGCCGCUGCCGCCUUGGCAGCUUGCGGCCAAGCCGAGCGGGCUCGGGCCAAGGUAGCCCUAACUCUUGGCCCUCGCGUUGCCGCCGCCUUGGGCCACCUAUGUUGCCCUCCUCCGGCCUCCGGCAACCUCUCACCGUUGUCCCGUUGCUCCUCGGCUGCCGCCUUGGCAGCUACGACUUGUUGAGCCCGAGCCGAGCCCGUGUGGGCUCGGGAUGCUCCAGCACCGCAGCCGCGACCCUCUGCCGCCGGCCGCCGUGAGCGCUGCCUCCCCUGGGUCGGUCGCACUCAUCCGCUGCCGGCUUAUCCCUCCGCCGGAGCUCCUUGUAGGCCAGAAUUGGCCCGUACCCUUCACGGGUUGUUGUGGCUAGGGCAUCAAUGUCCGUCGCCGACCGACGCGCGCCUCGGCCUCCCUCCGUCGCUCUCACCCUCCUUCCGCUGGUGCGCCCGCUGCCAAGCCGCUGCUGGCCAUGCCAUGGCCCCCCCAUUGCCCGGUGAGCUUUGUUUAGCUUAAUUGUGCACUGUUUGGGGUUGCCUCCACUGUUUCGAGAACCCGGGAUUGUUCCAAUGCCUCCGGAGGUGAGCACGGUGAUCGUUGGUCAGUUCUGAUCACAGUGCUCACCUCAUUUAGGGUUAACGAGCCCCGGAUGAGUGAAUUAGAAGUGUUUUAGUUUUAGUGCGCAGUGUUUGUUGAACUUCGAGCCGCUCCCGCGCCUCCCACAGUGGACGGCCAUGCUCCGAAGUAUGAGCACGACCUCCGGCACGUCGAGACCUGUCAGCGGAUGUCUCAGCUAGGCUCGAAUGUCCUCAGUUUGCGCUGUCAAUUCGUAAAACCCAAAAAAUCACAUAAAAUGAUGUGAUUUUAUGUAGUUGCAGGGGCUUAUGUGCAAAUUUANCCUGUGACCCGGUAAGCUUUUAUUUAGCUGGUUUGCACAGUACUUCGGGUUCGGGUUGCUGUUCCGGCGGCCUGAGGGCACCCCGAUGCUUUCAAAAGUGAGCACGAUGAUCCUUGAUCAGUGCCGAUCAUCGUGCUCAUCUCCUUUGGGGUCAGCAAGCCCCCGGUUUGCGAGUUAAGUGAGGUUUAGAUUCAGUGCGCGUAGUUCGCUGAAUUUUAUGUCGCUUCCACGCUCUCCAUAGUGGACGGUCAUGCUCCAAAUCGUGAGCACAGCCUCCGACAUGUCGAGACCUAUCAGCGUGUGUCUCGGCUAGCCUUGAAAAGCCUCAGUUUGCGCUGUCGAGCCGUAAAACCCCGAAAAUCACAUAAAAUGAUGUGAUUUUAGGUGGUCGCAGAGACUUUUAUGCAAAUUUACCCUUUGUGGCUCCUGUGGGCAGUGUGUGUGGGUAGCGGGUGACCUCUGGACUGGUUGUCCAAGGUCCUGGGCCUUUUCGGAAAUCGAAUGUUGACUUCCGGUGCGUUUUUCGGCGAAAUCUGCCGACGAAACGCGUUUUCGGUUUCGAUUUCUUCCGACGGUGCCUCACUAUAAAUUAUGUUGUCUCUGAGCCUUGUUGGCUGGUCACCCGCGUCGUUUUGAGGUUUCAAAAUGACGGGUGAACGACGGUGGGUUCUGGUGUCGAAAUUGAUACUUUCGGGAACUCAGAUCGGAACAAUUAUCCGAUGAUAAUCGUUUCAAUGUGAGGAGGUGUGUUUACUGCCAAGUCACACGAAUAAUAGUGUUUAGUGGUAGCGGGUGACUCGUAGCAUGAGUCGGUGUGUUUCGGGACAGUUCGUGGGUCCCGGCGGAGUCCCGGUGCGAGUUUCGGGACUUCCAGCGAGUUACGGCAAUCGGUUUUGGGAAAUCGAUUCCCGUGGGUUUAUUACUGGGGAUUGUGAUCUAGUGAUUCGUAUUUGUGGGUUGGAUUCUAACCCGGUGGACCCUUCGUAGGUCCGGUUGAUACUUCUUCCGCAGUUAGGAGACCUGUGCCAUAUACGUACAGGUGGGUACUUUGACCAGAAGUCGGUAUAGUGGUGCAUGCUCGGUGACAUUCUUUCUAUCCUUCUCUUACUAUUACCUUGCAUAUAUUAUGUUGAGCCUUGCACCCUUAUUAUUUCCUUAUAGCUCUACUUGGUUUUUACAUAUCUAGCAUCAUGAGUAGAAGUAGAGCUGGUUUAUGAUUACAUGUGAGCGGUUCUUGUAUCCCGUACUACGACCUAUUCGGUCAAUUCGUUGCAUCUAGCAUUAUGACCUACUUGGUUGGUUGGACUACUUGAUGACCUAUGCGGUUGGUGUACCCUAAGGGGUAAGAUUGUCGGCUAGAGGCUGACGGCUAGUUCUGAAUUAUACUGAUGCAUAGCUUGUCAUUUUUGUGACCUAUUGGUUGGUUCUUGUGCAUAUAUGUUAGUUGACUUUGAAUGGUCGGUACUUGCAUACCUUUGGGAGGACGUUGAGUUGUUCCAUCCUAAUUAACCUGAGUGAUCGGUACUUGUGUUCCUUACAGUUCGAUGACCUAUUGGUCGGUAUGACCCGAGGGGCGGUGAUUGUCAGCUAGCUGCCGACGGUUGGCUUUUGAGCAUAUUAGCAUCGAUCGCCACAUACUCGUUCGCAUUUCACGUACACCAGCAGUUUGGCCACCGCAAGAGGGUGUUCUUUUCUGAAAAAGUGGUCGUACAUCCGACCCGUGAACCCAGAGGCCUAGUCUGGGUUAUAUGCAACCUGUCAGUUUAGAGGCAUAGUCUGGGCGAUAUAUACAAGUAGAGUGGUAGUGGCACAGGCUUGAGGUCUGCGGACCGUCAUGCCAGGUUUCUGAUUGGAUAUUCUUGGGACUGAUCGUCCGGUUGAUGCAUACUUGUAUUUUGUUCUGUAUUACAGUAACGGCUAAUUAUAUUCCUAUAUACUGUUGUUUACUAAUGCAUCAUUGCUACUGUAGUCAUGAUAUCAAUGUAUGCAUUCUAUUCUAUUUUACAGUAGCGGUAGUUACAUGUUCUAUCACUAUUUUUCUUUUCUUCGGGCACUAUAGCUACUGUAUUUGUGAUAUUUACCUAUGAUUUUGAUGAUCUCUCUCUGCCGGUGAGUACUCCUCAUCUUCGUCGGCUUGUGGUACCCACUGGGAGGGGAGAGAUGUGUACAUGUUCUUACCCCGACCCUCCUUUCAGGUGACGUCGCAGGUCCGAGUGAGGACGGUUCGUGAGGUGCGUGCUUAGUGAUCGAUAGAGCUACCGACCCGUCAUUUUGGUUAAAUUUUCUGAGUUGACUUUUUAAAUAAUUAAUUUAGUAUUUAUGGUUCAGUUUGUUUUCACAUUAUUUGGAUAAAUAUGAUUUCGUGAAUGUAAUAAAGAACUUAUGAUUUUUUAUGAGAUGAAAACGAUUUUCUACCCCUCAUGGUAGCGUGUUUUAAAAGAAAAAGGUUUCCGUGUGUGAAACGGUUUUAAAAAGUUUACUUGGAUUCAAAUUUAAAUUCGAAUUCAAAUUCCGAUGUUGCAUUUAAUUUUUAAUUUUUAAUUUUAAAUUCAAAUUCACAUUUCAAAUUCUAAAUUCUAAUUUAAUUUCAAACUUCGAUUUGAAAUUUCAAAUUCAAAAUGUGAAUUUGAAUUUGAAGUUUGAAUUCAAAUUUAGAAUUGAAAUCAAAUCUUAAAUUAAAUUUAAAUUUUGAAUUCAAAUUUAAAAUUUAAAACCAAAAUUCUGAAUAUGAUUUUAAAUUUAAAUUGUUUCAAAACUUUCAUUUUAAAUGUAAAUUGAAAUAUCAAAAUCAAAAUCAAAAUUUUAAGUUUGAAUUCAAAAUUUAGAUUCAAUUUAAAAUUCAAAUUUAAAAUUUGAAUUGCAAUUCAAAACUUUAAUUCAGCUUUAAAUUCAAAUUUAAAAUUCUAAUUUUUCGUCAGUUUAAAAUUUUAAUUUUAAUAUUAUUUUUGAAUUUAAAUUUAAAAUUUUGUUUUUAGGGACUAAAGUGAAAAGGUGCAAAGUUUAGGGACCAAAAUUAACAUACAAAAGGAUGCCAAAUAGUUGCUGACAUAGCGAUUCCGUUAAUUUUAAACGUUUUUUUAACGGUUUGGACGUAAUUAUAAUAAAAUCAAUAGAUUAUGGACUCAAUUGCAAAAAAAAAAAAAAAGUUGGGCACCCAAGUGAAAAUUGGUGCAAAGGUUUGGGACCACUAGUGUAAUUAACCCGCAUUUAAAAACAUCUAGAAAUCAAAUUUUAUAAUUUUUGACAUUAUUUAUUUUACGAUCAAAAGAUCUCAAAAUUAAUAAUUUUUAACGGCCGAUAUGAGAUACUUGCUAGUUUAAUAGUGCAAAAAAAUCGAAAUCGGUUAAAUUUUUGAUAGAAAAUUCUAUCACUAUCUAGAUAAAAAUCAAUAUCUCUAAUCUUAAAUUGAAGAAUCCGAUCAUCCAUUUUUAGGACGCCGUUCGAUUUUGACCAUUCAUUUUAUGCCCGCUUGAUUGAUUUUAUUAUGACUUCAAAAAAUUACGAAAUUUAUUUUUUAGAAGUUUUAAAUACUCUAAAUCUUAUUUAACUGAGUGGAUCGUCGAAUCGAAAACUCUUCCAUCGAAAACAACUUAUGAGUACGAAGGGCUCUAUACUCAUAAGAGUAUAGUAGCCCUUCUCUCUCUCUCUCUCUGUACAUAUGUAUACAAAUCUAAUCUAUAUUUAAAUCUUAAUUUAUUUUCACCCUACCUUCUACUCCCCUAUCCUAUGUUAGUUCCUACACAUCCACUCUCCUACCCCUAUGUUAGGCCAAUUAUACGAUUAACGGCUAUAUUCGUCCUGUGCUAAGAAAUACUUUACUUCAAAAGGAAAAGGUACGUAUAGAAAAUUUAUUAGAACGAUUAAAGAACAUGGAGUGAGAAAGAUAUCAACAUUAUUUGUGAUGGCCGCUUGAAUGAUUCUUAAUAUAGUUUUAUAUUUUUAAAGGCAAUUAAUAAUGAAUGUGUGGAGAAAAAUAAAUAUUGUAUUGCAAAUUUAAUUAAAGAGGUAUUUUUCGAAGUUGGGCCAUCGAAAGUAGUACAUGUAAGGACCGAAAUUUUGACAGUGUAGCUAAACUCUCUGUUGACGAUAUUUUUGUGUGUAAUUUAAUUACAAAAGCAUUCGUCGAGUUUUGAAAGAAAACGAGUUAAAAUAGAGAUUCUACGCGAUUUCCAAGUUUCACUUAAAGUGAAUAGUAACUUGGUUUUUCGGAGAGCUCAAUGCGUAGCGGUGGCUUCUGGCUCGUACCGGACUCUGUUCAUAGCAGUCCAAUAGCUCGUUUCGACCGGUUUAGCUAUUCUGGAACUAAUGGCACUGACGGAUUUUGAGUUUGACGCACGAAUUUCGAGAAAAUCCAAAAAUACGUGUUUUAUAUGUAUUUGUGCGUAGUUCUUCUGUUGGAGAAAUGGAUCGGAUUUCGUCGUGAAUUUGCGACGGAUCGAGGCGAAACAAAAUUGUAGCUUUGUUGACUCUAUUGUGCUGAUCGUAGUGGUGUGAUCCGUUCGCAAAUCUGACGGGCGGAUCUGCGGAGAUUACGCGUUGAUCGAGGAGAGGUCGAUGAUGGCAAAACGGUAUUUUUGCAAAAGUUGCUAUAUUUUAUGUAUCGUUUCACAUGAAACCGGACAUGGAAGUGUGUUCGCGCAUUUUACACGUGCUGAGAAGGACUCAGUAUUAAAUACUGAGGUUUAGGGGGCUAACUCGCAAAGUUGCACCUUGGUAUAUAUAUAGCUCGUAGGGUUUUUGAUCCCCUAACCCUAACCCUAGCCCUAGCCGCACCUUGCCACCUUUUACUCCCUCCCUUGAGUGCACGACGCGCGCCCCAGCCGCCGGCGCACGCUGCCGGUCGUCGGAGAAGGAGGUUCCAUCUCCCUGUAGCUCCCUCUCCAUCUCUCUCUCCAUCUCUCUCUCUUUUCUUCUCAGUUUGGAGCCUUGGCCAAGGCUGCAUUGCCUCCCUGCACCUUGCCGUCGUCGCCCUGACACCGUCGGAGUUUCCCUCACCAGCCACGGCCUCCCCCGAGCGCUGCCGCCGCCGCCCCAGCACCCUGCUGCCAGCUAGGGCAGUUUUGGCCGAGCCGAACUCCAUCUGCUAGCCGCGCGCCGCCGCCGCCUGAGACCACCCUGGCCACCUUCCCCGGAGCUUAGACGACCACCCCUGGCCGGUCGCCGCCGCCCCUGCAGGCUGCCGUCGCCGCCCCAGCACCCUGCUGCCAGCUAGGGCAGUUUUGGCCGAGCUGAACUCCAUCUGCUAGCCACGCGCCGCCGCCGCCUGAGACCACCCCGGCCACCUUCCCCGGAGCUUAGGCGACNNNNNNNNNNNNNNNNNNNNNNGGCUGCCGUCGCCGCCUCGGCCAGCUCGCGGCCGCCCCAGCCUACUCGGGCCGAGCUGACCCGCCUUCUCUCCUCUCGCACCGCCGCCGCCCGGAGCCACCCGUCCCGCCUCCCGCCGACCUCAGGCGACCUACCGCCGCCGCCCCAUGGUGCACUGGCCGCCGUCGCUGCCGCCAUUGCUCUGGAACCCGAGCUUCAACUCGUCCGAGCUUGUCUCUUUCCACCGUCGCCGCCGCCGCUCCUCGCCGCCAACUGAGGUGAGCACCACACUCCCUACCUCCCCCGCACCCAUUCCUGGCCCGCACGCACCACGCCGUGCCGCCGAAAGCCGGCCGGAGCAAGCUUGCUCUGGCCAAGCCCAAAAUAGGGCUAUUCCUUGGCAGUUUGCUGUUCCGAGCUUCCCGAGCCUCCCUGAUCUCUACGGAAGGGAGCACGGUGAUCGUGGCAAAUUUAUGAUCAUCGUGCUCACCUUAGUUUUUGUCGUGGAGACUCUUUUCCGCUAUUUCGGCGGUGUCGCUCUGUUAGAGCCUUUUUGGCUGCUGUUUCAGGAUUAUGCACAUUUUUACGGCGAUCCGAGGCUGUUCCGAUGCCUUUGGAGGUGAGCACGGUGAUCAUGGAUCAGUGCUGAUCACAGUGCUCACCUUAUUUUGGAUCAGCGGAUGUCGUAUCAUUCUGUUUGGUGCAUUUUUCCCCGACUGCACGCUAUUGGCAGAAUUUUUGCGUUGCUCCCGCGCUUCCUACAGUGAGCUGUUGUGCUCCAGACCGUGAGCACGGCCUCCGGCAUGUCGAGACCUGUCAGUACGCUUCUCGGCGGAACUUAGAAGUCCUCGGUUUGUGAGAACGAGUCAUAGAAGUCGCCCGAUUUACAUAAAAUGAUGAAUUUUAUGUAAACAUAGGGACUUUUAUGCAUUUGUACACCUUAUGGCUACUGUGGGCAGUGCGUUGGUGUGUGUGGUGACCUUCAGACUGAUUGUCCAUGAUCUGAUAGCUUUUGCAGAAAUCGAAAAGUCGAUUUCGACGCGUUUUUCGGCGAAAUUCGCCGAAAGAACGCGAUUUUAGUUCGGAUUUCUUCCGACGUGGUUUCGUUAUCCUGUAAAUUAUUGCUGAGCCUUGUUGGCUUGUCACCAUCAUUAUUUUGUGGGUUCGGUGAUGAUGGGUGAGCAACGGUGGGUUCCGAUGUCGAAAUAGACACUUUCGGGAACCAGGAUUCGUACAAUUACCUGGUGAUAAUUGUGUAGUGGUGUUAUCUUGUGUUUACUGCCAAAACAUACAAAUCGGAGUGUUUUGGGGUAGCAGGUGACUCGUGACACGAGUCGGUGAGUUUCGGGACACUUAGUCGGUCCCGACGGCUUCCUGGUGUGGUUUUUGGGACUUUCGGUGAGUUACGGUGAUCGAUUUUGGAAAACCGAUUACGGGGAUCUUGUGUGGGGGGUUUGUGAAUCUCGUGCUGGUUUGGAUACUGACCUGGUGGAUCUUCUUAGGUCCGGUAGACGCUGUGCGUACCCAGUGUUCCGACACAACAGUGACAGGUGGGUGCUUCGAGCUGGUAGUCGGUGAGAUCGUUUCACCCUUCCUCUGUUCUUUCAUAUUAGUAUCGUAGUCUCUACAUGUCUUUGCUCUGAUUAUCAUUCGUAUAUCUUACUUUGUUGGUUGCAUUUUGUUAGUUGUUGAUGGACAUGUAGAGCAGGUUGCAUAUAUAUAUAUAUAUAUAUAUAUAUAUAUACUGUAUAUCUGUGGACCUUGGGUCCCGGCAACACAUCGACUUCUUUGUCGCGUGUUUCGAUCUGGUUGAUCGUGGUUCGGCGUUGUACACCCUUACACCUGGCUUCGGCCAAGGCACCGGUCUCUUUUUGUCGAUUUUCGUUUUGAGUAUAUCAGCAUGAUUUAGUCACAGCACUGUGUAUUCUAGACACCAGGUUUGUUUGGCCACCAACCAAGGGGUGUACGUAUCCGGAUAGGUCGUCGGUGACGCAUGAGUAAGUUGGCAGUGUCUGCUCUGUGAUAGGUAACGCUUGAGGUCUGCGGACUAAUAUAGCAGCAUCAGAUUGGGUUUGGUUUGGACUAUUUACCCUUGAGGCAUCCGAUCAGUUGAGUUUUUUGUUACAGUAGUAGUUUCGUUCUUACUCAGUUAUUAUCCUGUUUCUAUUACUACUGUAGUUGCUCUUAUAUCACAUCAUGCUCAUAUCUGUAGUUCUGUUUCAUAUCAGCAUAUAUAUUUGUUUAUCUAUCUUCUUUGGUUUCCGGUGAUUACGGUUUGCCUUCAUGGCUCUGUCGUACCGACUGGGAAACCAUGGUUGCGAUUUCUCACCCCCCAUUCCCCCCAGGUGAUAUGGACGAGGAGUUAGAUUUUGGGCUCGACGGGAGGACGAUCUAGCUAGUCGGCAGUUGUGACCGUCACCCUGGUUAUAUUUCUUCCCGCAUUUAGUAGUUGUUAAUAAUAAAUAGUUUAGUUAGAUGUUUGAAUGUUUGUGAUUUCCGUUAUGCAUGAUUAGAGACGUUGUGGAUCACUGGUUUUGGUUUUAUGGAUAUUAAGUUCUCGGAUUUGUGUAUUUAUACAUAUUUACGCAUCGUGGUUUUCUACCCCUCGAGGUAGUCGGUUUUCAAAAUAAAGUUUUCGUGUGGGAAACAGUUUUAAAAAGGUUUUCGAAUGAUUUGCAUGAAUGAAUGAAUUAGAGUUUAAAAACAAAAGCUUCCGUGUGGGGAGCACUUUUAAAUAGGAUGUUUGUUGUAUUGUGCAUUACAUUAUCCAGCGCCUAAGGAGUGCUUAGAGGCAUGCAUCAUCUCUAAGGAUCGUUAGUUAUAUGGAAAUACAUAUCAUGAAUUGGUUGUUGAUUGGUAAAUGUAGGUUGUGGUUGAGAUCCUGUUGUAUAGUUGGUAUGCCGUGCAAAUACAAAGGAGACUCUGUCCGAGUGGAUAGAGGAACUUUGUAUUUGUGGCGGAUCUGUACGUCACGUGGGCCAGGUUUAAAAAAAAAAAAAAUUUGGCACAUCUUCCGCAACUCUGUUUCAAAAUGGUAAUGAAUUUUUAAAAAGGCUUUUAAAAUCGGCCCCGGGGUGUGACAGAUUAAGAUGGUAUCAGAGCGUGAAACAACUACAACUGCAUUUACAAGUUUUCUAACUGAACCACUGGUUAGGUUGACCCAUAGGAAGACCUAAGGUAUAUAGGCACGUGAGUGCGGUUUUGGGUUUGAGUCCCGGUGAGUUUGUAUGUCGAGUCGUUUGGUUUGCUUGACGGUGUUUUCUGUUGCAGAUGGCUCGUGGUAGGCCCCCUCGUCCGGGUCGUGGUGGUGGACGCGUCGGUGCGGAAACGCCCGGCAGUACUCGUGCUCCUCCGAGUGGGGGUGUUGGGGAGCAGUUGGGCGCGGAGCCGCUGAGUGGUACUCGGACUCAGCAGCUCGAGGCCCAGGUAGCUGAUUUGAGGGGUCAGCUGGCGACCCUCUCUGGUUUGUUUCAGCAGUUCUUGCAGCAGCAGGCUGCGGCUACUGCUACCCCGGUCCCACCUUCGGCACAGGACACUCCGGUGAACGCGGAUCCUCCCGCAACGCACGCGCCUGCCGUAGCUCCAGCCGUGACUACCACGACGACGACGGCCACCACGACAGUUUUCGCUGGGGGUACUGAUACCCCUGCAACGGAAGGCGCCCGCAUUAGGGCAAGGCUGGUGGAGUUUCG